AGAGAAGGGGCGAAGCCUUGGCCGCAGGCGGAAAGGCUGUUUCUGUAGCGCCCCCCCCCACCCCGGGUCUGUGUGGGCCCCACCGUAAAGCCGCUUAGGCGCUAAGCAGCCUCGCGGGGCGCCGAGUUACAGCCCCUGUGAGCGGGGCGGGGGCGUGUCCUGGAACCUGCCGUGUGACGUGACCUGGGGGCGGGGCGGGGCAGUAGCGGGGUCCCAGGGCAAAGGGGAUCCUGGUGGGCCGCGCAGCAGCUCCAAGGCCGCCCUGCCCUGGCUCCGUCAGAAGCACCGGCGUGUCCUGGGGCUCCACGCGCUGCCCCCUCCCCGGGCUCCGCAGCGCCCAUUGCCUGGCAACCGGGGGCAAUGGGAGCUGCAGGGGCGGGUGAGGGCAGCUAAGCGGAGCCUCCCUGGCUGCCCCUGUGCGCAGGGACCGCAGGGACAUACGGGCCGCUUCCAGGAGCUACGUGAGGAGCCAGAGAGGAAAGUGAUCUAGCCCUGGUUCAUAAAGAUGACCUCCCCCUAGGCCUCUCUAUGCAGCCCAGAGAAUUCCCCCACCCACAUACUGCAGUGGAGUCCCCCGCAGGGAUGUAAGGCUCUUUGGGAUCUCAGAAACAUGGGCGCUGGUGUUGAGGCAGUGCUCAGACAGCCAUGACUGGCCCCCAUAUGAACUAAGUAAAUUGGCGGAG